UACAGCCACAUCAUGUUGAAACACCGGUUCCUGUACAAUCACUGAAGUUAAGCAACGUCAAGUCUGGUCAUUACCUUAGUGGAUGACCCAUUGGGAAUACCAGGUGCUGUAGG